UUCAGGUUAAGGUAUUAGUCAUUCCCGAAAGCAGUUCAGCCUCAGGUUCAUUUUCCAAGUCUCUUCUAUACUUUGGCAAGUUUGAACAAACUCUCUGUGUGUGACCUGAUGUGAAGUUAGCAGCAUGGAUCCGUUUGAGGACAAACUGGACAGAAUCCCUCCCUCUAAGAUCAGUAGGUCUGGAGAAAAUGAGGGACAGAGCAAAACUCAGAGGAAACGAUCUGAGCCAGAACCUGAACCCAGCUGUCUGUCCUUUAAGAGUAAUGAUUCAAAGGGUAUUGGUAUAGAUUUUAAAUCAGACCAACCUUCAUCAUCAAAUAGG